AUGAGAGGGAAAGAGAGAAGGAAGAACAUGAGAGGAGGGAGAAAGAGAGAGGAAAGAGGAGAGGGCGUUGACGGCCGACAGGAGAGGAUCACCGGAAGGAGUGCCGCCGGCUCGUCGUCUUUCACACCGGGUGAAGGAGCAGGGGAGGCGGGCAACAAGGAUGGGAAGCAUCGGGCCGUCAUGGUGCGGUGGAGAUGCUGGGAAGAAGGAGGAGGGCGUCUGCAUCAUCCCCAGGGGUGCUCGUGGAGCUGCUCCUCAAUGAGAUCCACCNNNNNNNNNNUCUGCCCUGCUCUCCACCGUGCCGCCUCUUCCUCCUCUUCACUGCCCUCUCUAGCGGCGGCAAAGAUCUGCCGACAAAAGGGAGACGACGGCGACGCUCGAUCCGAUCUGCUGAAGAGAAAAGAUGAGAGGGAGAGAGACAAGGAAGGAGAGGAGGGAGAAAGAUAG
rnacentral:rRNA from 1 species